CAAACGACUCUCGGCAACGGAUAUCUCGGCUCAUGCAUCGAUGAAGAACGUAGCGAAAUGCGAUACUUGGUGUGAAUUGCAGAAUCCCGUGAACCAUCGAGUUUUUGAACGCAAGUUGCGCCCGAAGCCAUUCGGCCGAGGGCACGUCUGCCUGGGCGUCACAC
rnacentral:rRNA from 36 species